UAUGGCCGUGCCAGGUAGACUGCACCGAUUCUCAUUAGUUUACCUGAGUUAAGCAACCUUGGGCGUGGUUAGUACUUCGAUGGGUAACCGCUUGGGAACACCACGUGCUGCUG
rnacentral:rRNA from 1 species